rnacentral:rRNA from 1 species
UACGUAGGUGGCGAGCGUUGUCCGGAUUUACUGGGCGUAAAGGGCGUGCAGGCGGUUUGUUAAGUGCAGAGUGAAAGCUCCCCGGCUCAACUGGGAGAGGUCUUUGCAUACUGGCAAACUCGAGGGAGGCAGAGGAAAGUGGAAUUCCCGGUGUAGUGGUGAUAUGCGUAGAUAUCGGGAGGAACACCUGUGGCGAAGGCGGCUUUCUGGGCCUUACCGUGACGCUG